rnacentral:piRNA from 1 species
UUUUAUGCCUUAGCAACACUCGCCUCCCUG